rnacentral:rRNA from 1 species
UGGGGAAUAUUGGGCAAUGGGGGAAACCCUGACCCAGCAACGCCGCGUGAAGGACGAAGGCCUUCGGGUUGUAAACUUCUUUGAUCAGGGACGAAAGCAAUGACGGUACCUGAAGAACAAGCCACGGCUAACUACGUGCCAGCAGCCGCGGUAAUACGUAGGUGGCGAGCGUUAUCCGGAUUUACUGGGUGUAAAGGGCGUGUAGGCGGGUUUGCAAGUCGGGUGUGAAAGAUUCGGGCUUAACCCGGAGAGGUCAUCCGAAACUGCAGAUCUUGAGUGCUGGAGAGGAUAGUGGAAUUCCUGGUGUAGCGGUAAAAUGCGUAGAGAUCAGGAGGAACACCAGUGGCGAAGGCGGCUAUCUGGACAGUAACUGACGCUGAGGCGCGAAAGCGUGGGGAGCA